AUUGUGGCGCAAGGGGUCAGUGCAUCUGGCUGUUCACCAGAAGGCUGGUGGUUCCAACCCACCCAGGAAUG